GGAAUUGUUCGCAAUGGGCGCAAGCCUGACGACGCAACGCCGCGUGGAGGAUGAAGACCUUCGGGUCGUAAACUCCUUUCGAUCGAGACGAAUGGCUUCCGGGUGAACAAUCCGGGAGAGUGACGGUACCGAGAGAAGAAGCCCCGGCUAACUCCGUGCCAGCAGCCGCGGUAAUACGGGGGGGGCAAGCGUUGUUCGGAAUUACUGGGCGUAAAGGGCUCGUAGGUGGCCAACUAAGUCAGACGUGAAAUCCCUCGGCUUAACCGGGGAACUGCAUCUGAUACUGGAUGGCCUGAGAUUGGGAGAGGGAUGCGGAAUUCCAGGUGUAGCGGUGAAAUGCCUAGAUAUCUGGAGGAACACCGGUGGCGAAGGCGGCAUCCUGGACCAACACUGACACUUAGGAGCGAAAGCCAGGGGAGCAAA
rnacentral:rRNA from 1 species